CCCAAACUAAGACAGCUAGGUAUUCAUUCAGAAGCAUUCGUCCAAUUCCUUCUAUAUAGCAAAGGCUGUGGCCCAUACCUUAGAGACUUUAAAAUCUAGCUGGCAAUACCAGUUUAUCCAGCCAAUGACAAUAGAAGACUCUACGUGUUAGAAGUCCUGUCAGAGAGCCCCUGUGCCAUAUACAGAGAGAAAGAGCAAUGACAGCAAAGUUGUUCAGCCCACUGCUCAGCUGGAGCCCCGUGGCAGGGUGUUCACCUGGGUCUUUAUCUAUGUGCAUCCAAAAUCUCUCUGGGAGAUAUGCAACUCUCUAAGCUGACCCAGCAUGGAGAUAUGGUUUUAAAAAGCCACAUUAAAGAAUCACAUUAACCAUGCCCCCAAGAUCUGGGAUAUAAAUCAGAAUGCGAAUUGUGAACUUACAGUAAGUGAAUUUACACCAGCUGCCAGGCAGGCUCAGGAAUACUAAUAUAGCCUUAGCAGCAUUUCUCCUUCCCCACAGGAAAAUGCCUGGUUGAAGCCAGCUUGCAAUUCCAAAGUCAGAAGGUUGCCUGGGAAGCCAUGAAACAAAGCCAAAUCAAGGCAAAGCAGACACAUGGAGAUUUUGAGACUGAGAAGAGGGAAACUGAGGACAUUCAUGUGAGAUGGUUUCAAGUUUCCCUUAGAAGGAGAAGUUAUCUUCAGAAGGUCAGGUUGCUGAGGUGGAUGUUCAAAAACAACAAAGUGUGUAGCUACCAUUGUGAGGAAGACCAUGGAAAAUGGAAAAAUCAGAAUGAAAGACUUUCUGAACAAGACCUAGAGAUAGAAGCAGAUAAUGCAUGUGUCAUCUACAUCUGGCAAAAGCCAAAGGUCUGGAAGAUGGACAAAGGAAUCCAGGCAAAAAGGAGCCCAUGAUUGAAAUGCAUUACCAGGUGCACCAGUUCAAAUGCAAUCAGGAGGAACAAGGGGAAGAGGGAGAAGUCUAGAGCAGGACUUCUCAAACUGACUAUUCAAGUCACCUAGAGAUCUUAGUGAAAUGCAGACUCUGAUGCAGUAGGUCCUGGCAGGAACUUGAGAUUCUGCAUUUUGACCAAGCUCCAAAGUGAAUGUCAGUGCUGUUGUCCUUGGUCCACACAGGGAGGAGCAAGGAUCUGAGGCUUGGAGAGCAAACGUCAAGUUCAGAAGAAAGACUGGAAGUUUGGGGAUAAAACCCAAAUAUGGCUAAAGAAAGCCAGUAAGUAUGCUUUGAGUUGUAUUUUCCAUUGCAUCUGAAGCUGUGCUGGCCAACAUGGUAGUCACUGGCCCUGUGUGGCUAUGGGCUAGCCCUAAUGGACAUGUGCUCUAACAUGUAAAAUACACACUGAAUUUCCAAAACUUGGUACCAAGAAAAUAAUGUAAAAUAUCUCAAUACUUUAAAAACAUUAUUACAUGUUGAAAUAAUAUUUUAGAUAUAUUGAGCUAAAUAAAAGAUACCU
rnacentral:lncRNA from 1 species